UUCAUUUUCGUUCACGUUUUCAUUCCGAUGUAUAAAUGAAUAACAGCUUUCAAAUUAUUCAAAAAAUAAAAUAUUAAAAAAAAAAAUAAGUACGAACAAGAAAAAACGUUAACUUCGGCUGCACCGAAGCUAAGAAACCCUUCACAGGUGCAUUUCUUUUAGUAACUACAUAUGUGUUUAAGCAAAUCUAAAGAAGUAAGAAAAAAUUCAAUGAUUUCGAAAUUAACGACAUCUAUGAGCCGCGGAAAAUAUUUUAUCAAGCCGGUCUUGACAUAACCUACAAAACGACGAUAUGCAUGAUUAGUUUGGAUAUUGCGUUCAACAGUUAUAAACGUGUAAACAUGGAGUUUGCUAACGCCGAAAUUCGCGCUAUUUUAAAGUUUCCGGAAGACCUGUGACGAAGAAUGACAUCUCCUGACAUCGCCCAGAAGAUGGAAGUUAGUCACCAAAACCAUUUUAAAAGCUUGAUGUUUGGGUGCCGCAUUAUUUGACGUAAAAAAACCUUCGGGACGAAUCAAUGCCUGCGAUAUGCUGCUGCAACGAACUCAAUCCAGUUUUGAAGCGGAUGGUGACUGGCGACGAAAAAUGGAUCACAUACGACAAUAUCAAGCUCAAACGGUCGUGGUUGAAGGCCAGUGAAUCGUCCCAAACUGUGGCCUAGCCGGGAUUGACGGCCAGGAAAGUAUUAGCUGUGCGUUUGGUGGGAUUGGAAGGGAAUCAUCCACUAUAAGCUGCUCCCAUAUGGCCAGACACUUAAUUCUACCAUCUACUGCGAACUACUGAACCGCUUGAAGCAGGCGAUCGAUCGAAGCGUCCAGAAUUGGCCAACAGGAAGGGUGUUCCACCAGGACAACACACUUCGUUGAUGACUCGUCAGAAGCUACGGGAGCUCGGAUGGGAGGUUUUAACGCAUCCACCAUAUAGCCCGGACUUAGUGUCAAGUGACUACCACCCGUUCCUGUUCAUGGCGAACGCACUUGGUGGUGUAAAGUUGAACUCAAAAGAGGCUUGUGAAAAGUGGCUGUCCGCGUUCUUCGCAAAUAAGGAGGGGGACUUCUACGAGGGUGGUAUUAUGAAGUUGGCGUCUAGAUGGAAAUAGAUUAUCGAACGAAACGGCGCAUAUGUGAACUAAAUCCGAUCACUGCCAACCAAUAUAAUACUUCUAUCACUCAAAUGGACUAUUGUAUUGAAACACCAUUUGCUUUCCAACAAAAUUCGGAAUACCGGUGAUACACAUAUGAUUUCUGUAGCAUACUACAAUACGUACUUCAUGUCUGUCUCAGGUAUUAAGAGCUGUGCACAUGUUCAUUGAGUAGGCGUUCUCCGCGGAGUGAAAUUGUCAAGAUCGUUUCACAAAAAAAGCGGUUAUACAAAAAGUGUUCAAAAACAUAAAAACAAUGGUUUUAUUUUAAAACCAAGUGAUCUAUUUAAAAAAAUAAAGAGUAGAGAGUUAUUUGAAAAAAAAAACAGUCAUGAGAAAAGUGUUUAGUUUGUUUAUAAUAAUUUA